UGUCUUAUGAAAAAUUAUAUAAGAUAUCUCCUGCCCAGUGAAUUAUUUAAACGGCCGCGGUAUCCUAACCGUGCAAAGGUAGCAUAAUAAUUUGCCCAUUAAUUGUGGGAUAGAAUGAAUGGGAUAACGAAAUAUAAUCUAUAUCAUAUAAUAUUUAACAAAAUUAAUAUUUAAGUGAAAAAGCUUAAAUAAAGUUAAAAGACAAGAAGACCCUAUAGAGCUUUAAUUAUAAAUCUUCAAUCACGUUUAAUAAUUUAGGUUGGGGCGACCUAGGAAAUAAUCAUCCUAAAACUAGUAAGAGACACCUCUCAAAUUAUGAUCCUAAAACUAGAUAUUGAAUUAAGCUACCUUAGGGAUAACAGGCUAAUCUUAUUUCAGAGUUCAUAUCUACAAUAAGGCUUGGCACCUCGAUGUUGGCUUGGAAAUACUGUAUGGCGCAAAAGUCAUAUAAGUUGGUUUGUUCAACCAUUAAUAUUC
rnacentral:rRNA from 1 species